GCAAAUGGACAUGAUGUAUCU
rnacentral:piRNA from 1 species